rnacentral:lncRNA from 1 species
UGUAACACCACCGCUUCCGGCCGCUGCGCCUGCGCCUGCGCCUGCGCACUGGGCGCUGCGCCUGCGCACUGCACACUGCGCCUGCGCACUCGGUGCUGGCUGCCUGCUGGAGGAACGUACCAACCGCUGGAGUGGGGUGGGCGCGGAGGACCCGCCGACUGUCGCUCCCGGAAGUCGCCUCGGAACCUGGACCGCCCACCAAGCUCUGCAGGGCCCUUGGCGCCUCAUGGUUCGUGUAGACUCCAAGCUGGCUCUCCACAGCGUCCACCCUGCUGUCAUCCUGGUGUGCUUCAGUGAAGAGAAAGGGGUGCCAGUCACUGCCCAAGAUCCCGGACCUGCCCCGGGGACUGUCAGGAGAUGAGGUUCCUCAAGCAGUAGCCUAAGGGACCUGCUGGCCCUUGAGCGGGGGUGUCGGAGACAGGUGUCCAGCCCAGGCCGAGUGGACGGGGCGUCCUUUGGGGUGAGCAGCCCGCUGACCGCCAGUGGCACCUGCGUCACUGUGACGGAGCUGCUGGGGCCCCGGCC